AAAUGUUAAGGUAUUUUUUUGAGGACCGAUAAAUUAUUUAUUAUCCGUGUAUUUACUUUAGGUGCGCUGCAAAUGGCGCACAAUUUGCUGCGGACUUUUUGUCUGCUGUAAAGACAUUUUGUGUGCAAAAAGUUCGUUGUCUCCGUUGCAGCUUACAGUACCUAUUGGUUAUAAACUUAUCAGGUUCCCUAAAUGUAAGUCUACGCUGACUAUCUCAAUUGACAUCAAUUAAACUCGUGAACUUAGUAAUUUGAUAGACUAUCUACUAACCAGUAUCGCAUUGAACAGGAUUGCACAUAGUUGGUGUUGAUAUUCCAGUAGGUAUUUCCCACUUUAUGUCAUGUCGCUUUAAUCAAAUGUCAUUUAAUUGAGGACUUCGGUGAAUACAACGCAUUAAACUACUAGUGUAGUACAUAGAGGUGUACCAGGAACUAUUUUAAAGGCUGUAUGUAAUUAUAUUCAAAGUUAAGAAAAAUAAGGAGCUUUUCUUAUACUGCGCAAAGGUUUUUGGUAUGAAUGAUUGGCACCUAUGAAGUCACAACCAGCAUAAUAUUGUCAGGCCCUGGUUAUACAAUUGGAUUAAAUUAUACGCUGAAUUACAAUAUUUAAAAUGCUUUUUUAUUUAUCAGUCAUAUUGGCGAUUUUUCGUAUUAUUUGUUAUGACUGAUUGAUUAAUUUUAUCUUAUAAAUUGUACCGCUUGUACCUAGUGUGAUAUUUUACACGUGAUGUAAUAAUUAAAAUGUCAUGCUCCUUUUUUAGUGGAAUAUAAUGAUUUCAUUUCAUAUUAAAGUUCAACCUGUUUGUUGUUUGCAAUCAGACAUUCAUAAUUGCAAUAAACAUUAUUUUAAUUGUAAAAGGAGUUUUUUAUUUUAAACCGCUGACGAAAUAUCGCCGCAACCUGUGCAUCUGAGUUUCGAAGCGGAAGCACUGUUUGGAUCAAAGUACUUUCAUACCUUCAUCGUCGAGAAAACAAUACCUCCGACCAUCGACCUUUAAUGUAUUUGUACUUACCUACAUGUUUACCAUGUUUUUGACACACACUUCCUAUUUUAUACUCUGGCGAACCCCUGUCAUGUGAAAUCGUUUGACAGUUCGUACCACCAAGUUGAAAUUUUUGCCGAUAUUAAUAUCAUAAAUAUGUAUUUAUCAAACAAUACAACGAAAUGUUUUCAAUGUUUGGGUUAUUUAUAUUUGUGAUUCUUACGAUACCUUAUCUAAGUUGUUAAUUGAUAACAGUAUCGAGAGCUCGACAGGUAAAUACCUAAAAAUAACUCACUUCAGUCAAAAUAUACUUCGGUUAAGUUACCUAAAGGACAAAGUUCAACGACCAAGUUCUCGAGACGCAAAACUCUUUAUUAAUUAAAUAUCGAUAAUUAUUUAGCUUUAAGGCAAUAAUUAAAAUUAUUUAUAUGCCUCAAUAUUGAAGAGGAAAAUUAUCGAUUCUCUGUUAUCGAUAGGAUACGAUAAAACAUAAACAUACGAGAUAACACCUAGGAGGUACUUAGUGAGAGUACCUAUAUGUUAGAGUACUAAUUGUAUUAUUUUAGUUCAGAAGCAGACACUGUAACGAACAGUUGACUUUAUUGUAAAAAUUGAAUUUCUUCUAAAAUAUGCCACCGCCCCACGGCCCUCCACACCACGGACCCCCACAUCAUGGGCCUCCACAUCACGGACCGCCGCAUCAUGGACCGCCCCACCACGGACCACCCCACCAUGGUCCACCCCACCACGGACCACCCCAUCAUGGUCCACCACACCACGGUCCGCCUCAUCACGGACCACACCAUGGUCCACCCCACCACGGUCCGCCUCAUUUCGGACCACCCCAUUGGAGGUGAAGAGGGCAAAACAAUCACAAUUGAGAAUCAUACUCUAAUUAAAUAAAACUAAGAUACCUAUCAUGAAAAUUUUAUUUUUAAUUACAAAAGUUAAUCGCUGACUUCACGGUAAAUUAAGAUCCCAGGAAUAAGGAUAAAAAUGUUAAUGUUGUUUUUAAAUUAAACUUGGAACAGUUGAUGUACUUAAUUUAAUUAAAUACCUAUAAAAAUUCAACUGGCUAUUAAUUAUUAAGACAUAUCGAAUAAAAUAUUACAUUGCAAAAA